UGUCUCCUCCACCCUCCUCCUUUGGUGUGGAUUUAGCGCGGCUCCAACGAGCCGCGCUUUUUUUU
rfam:Candidatus Accumulibacter sp. BA-93 contig000076, whole genome shotgun sequence.